rnacentral:pre_miRNA from 12 species
CGCGUCUCCAGGGCAACCGUGGCUUUCGAUUGUUACUGUGGGAACCGGGGGUAACAGUCUACAGCCAUGGUCGCCCCGCAGCAC